GGUCGAUUGGUCUAGUUGGUCAUGACGUGGGUAAGUUUUCACUGUGCCGCGCCGAAAGACGGCUUUCUCCUCCCACACAGCGAACUUCGCUGACAAUUCACUGCAGGUCUCAUAGAUUUGUGCUGUGAUUGCCUCAUGGAGGCGAGUUAUCCCAAGGCCACCAGUUCGAUCCUGGUAUCGACCA